UACGUAGGGGGCGAGCGUUGUCCGGAUUUACUGGGCGUAAAGGGUGAGUAGGCGGUAACGUGUGUCAGAUGUUUAAUCUAUGGGCUCAACCCAUAUCAGCAUUUGAAACUGCGUAACUUGAGUGCAGGAGAGGUAAGUGGAAUUCCUAGUGUAGCGGUGAAAUGCGUAGAUAUUAGGAGGAACACCAGUGGCGAAGGCGACUUACUGGACUGUAACUGACGCUGAGACACGAAAGCGUGGGGAGCGAACAGG
rnacentral:rRNA from 1 species